GAUGAACGCUGGCGGCGUGCCUAAUACAUGCAAGUCGAGCGAACGGACGAGAAGCUUGCUUCUCUGAUGUUAGCGGCGGACGGGUGAGUAACACGUGGAUAACCUACCUAUAAGACUGGGAUAACUUCGGGAAACCGGAGCUAAUACCGGAUAAUAUUUUGAACCGCAUGGUUCAAAAGUGAAAGACGGUCUUGCUGUCACUUAUAGAUGGAUCCGCGCUGCAUUAGCUAGUUGGUAAGGUAACGGCUUACCAAGGCAACGAUGCAUAGCCGACCUGAGAGGGUGAUCGGCCACACUGGAACUGAGACACGGUCCAGACUCCUACGGGAGGCAGCAGUAGGGAAUCUUCCGCAAUGGGCGAAAGCCUGACGGAGCAACGCCGCGUGAGUGAUGAAGGUCUUCGGAUCGUAAAACUCUGUUAUUAGGGAAGAACAUAUGUGUAAGUAACUGUGCACAUCUUGACGGUACCUAAUCAGAAAGCCACGGCUAACUACGUGCCAGCAGCCGCGGUAAUACGUAGGUGGCAAGCGUUAUCCGGAAUUAUUGGGCGUAAAGCGCGCGUAGGCGGUUUUUUAGUCUGAUGUGAAAGCCCACGGCUCAACCGUGGAGGGUCAUUGGAAACUGGAAAACUUGAGUGCAGAUUAGGAAAGUGGAAUUCCAUGUGUAGCGGUGAAAUGCGCAGAGAUAUGGAGGAACACCAGUGGCGAAGGCGACUUUCUGGUCUGUAACUGACGCUGAUGUGCGAAAGCGUGGGGAUCAAACAGGAUUAGAUACCCUGGUAGUCCACGCCGUAAACGAUGAGUGCUAAGUGUUAGGGGGUUUCCGCCCCUUAGUGCUGCAGCUAACGCAUUAAGCACUCCGCCUGGGGAGUACGACCGCAAGGUUGAAACUCAAAGGAAUUGACGGGGACCCGCACAAGCGGUGGAGCAUGUGGUUUAAUUCGAAGCAACGCGAAGAACCUUACCAAAUCUUGACAUCCUUUGACAACUCUAGAGAUAGAGCUUUCCCCUUCGGGGGACAAAGUGACAGGUGGUGCAUGGUUGUCGUCAGCUCGUGUCGUGAGAUGUUGGGUUAAGUCCCGCAACGAGCGCAACCCUUAAGCUUAGUUGCCAUCAUUAAGUUGGGCACUCUAAGUUGACUGCCGGUGACAAACCGGAGGAAGGUGGGGAUGACGUCAAAUCAUCAUGCCCCUUAUGAUUUGGGCUACACACGUGCUACAAUGGACAAUACAAAGGGCAGCGAAACCGCGAGGUCAAGCAAAUCCCAUAAAGUUGUUCUCAGUUCGGAUUGUAGUCUGCAACUCGACUACAUGAAGCUGGAAUCGCUAGUAAUCGUAGAUCAGCAUGCUACGGUGAAUACGUUCCCGGGUCU
rnacentral:rRNA from 1 species